UAGGGAAUAUUGGACAAUGGGUGAGAGCCUGAUCCAGCCAUGCCGCGUGCAGGAAGAAGGCGUUAUGCGUUGUAAACUGCUUUUUGCCAGGGGAUAAAAAGACCGUGCGCGGUUAAUUGAAGGUACCUGGUGAAUAAGCCACGGCUAACUACGUGCCAGCAGCCGCGGUAAUACGUAGGUGGCAAGCGUUGUCCGGAUUUAUUGGGUUUAAAGGGUGCGUAGGUGGCCCUGUAAGUCAGUGGUGAAAUAUCUCAGCUUAACUGAGAGGGCGCCAUUGAUACUGCAGGGCUUGAGUACAGAUGAGGUAGGCGGAAUUGACGGUGUAGCGGUGAAAUGCAUAGAUAUCGUCAAGAACACCGAUAGCGAAGGCAGCUUACCAAGCUGUAACUGACACUGAGGCACGAAAGUGUGGGGAUCAAACAGGAUUAGAUACCCUUGUAGUCCCUGAGCGGGCUGGCAAGGCGCAU
rnacentral:rRNA from 1 species